rnacentral:lncRNA from 1 species
UGCCUGCAGGCUGGUCGUUCCAGGGGGUUCCUUUGAAAACUUCCUGCGGUGUCCAGGAGCGAGCAGCCUGCUGCACACAGGACGCAAUGCCUGCUGAAAUCCCAGAUGAAAUUCAUAAUCCACUUAGGAAAAAGGAGGGGGGAUGCACGGAGUUAGCACAUAUUAAGUGCCUGCUGUAGUCAAGCCCUGUUGGACACCAGGGACAUCUGGACCUUGACAACGGAGCGAAGGGGUGGUCCUGCCUGCACCAGGUUUCAUGGCUUCUCAGGCUUCUCUGCAGCAUGGGUGUUCCUGCCUUGGCCAGAGCCGAAAUCCCAGAGCAG